rnacentral:rRNA from 1 species
AGAGUUUGAUCCUGGCUCAGAGCGAACGCUGGCGGCAGGCUUAACACAUGCAAGUCGAGCGGGCGUAGCAAUACGUCAGCGGCAGACGGGUGAGUAACGCGUGGGAACGUACCUUUUGGUUCGGAACAACACAGGGAAACUUGUGCUAAUACCGGAUAAGCCCUUACGGGGAAAGAUUUAUCGCCGAAAGAUCGGCCCGCGUCUGAUUAGCUAGUUGGUAGGGUAAUGGCCUACCAAGGCGACGAUCAGUAGCUGGUCUGAGAGGAUGAUCAGCCACAUUGGGACUGAGACACGGCCCAAACUCCUACGGGAGGCAGCAGUGGGGAAUAUUGGACAAUGGGGGCAACCCUGAUCCAGCCAUGCCGCGUGAGUGAUGAAGGCCCUAGGGUUGUAAAGCUCUUUUGUGCGGGAAGAUAAUGACGGUACCGCAAGAAUA